rnacentral:rRNA from 1 species
GACAGAGGGUGCAAACGUUGUUCGGAAUUACUGGGCGUAAAGGGCGCGUAGGCGGCCUUCUAAGUCGAACGUGAAAUCCCUCGGCUCAACCGGGGAACUGCGUCUGAUACUGGGUGGCUUGAAUCCGGGAGAGGGAUGCGGAAUUCCAGGUGUAGCGGUGAAAUGCGUAGAUAUCUGGAGGAACACCGGUGGCGAAGGCGGCAUCCUGGACCGGCAUUGACGCUGAGGCGCGAAAGCCAGGAGCAAACGGG